CCACUCUGCAGGGAGAGAUGCCAGGGUAGAAGGGCUCUCUGCAGGGAGAGAUGCCAGGGUAGAAGGGCUCUCUGCAGGGAGAGAUGCCAGGGUAGAAGGCCACUCUGCAGGGAGAGAUGCCAGGGUAGAAGGCCACUCUGCAGGGAGAGAUGCCAGGGUACAAGGCCACUCUGCAGGGAGAGAUGCCAGGGUACAAGGCCACUCUGCAGGGAGAGAUGCCAGGGUAGAAGGGCUCUCUGCAGGGAGAGAUGCCAGGGUAGAAGGGCUCUCUGCAGGGAGAGAUGCCAGGGUAGAAGGGCUCUCUGCAGGGAGAGGUGGAGACACGUUACACACACGCUCCUGUGUGUGAAGAGAAAUGUAAAUAAAGACUUCCUUGCUCUUUAUAUUUAUUACAUCCUGAAAAUAACCUUCAGCAAAUAGGCUAACAGGUCAGAGCUUUACAACGCUGUGAAGACUGAGUACAUCUGUUCCUAACUUUGUUUAGACAUGCGCACAGAGACACAAGAGAGACACAAGAGAGACACAAGAGAGAGAAGAGAGAAGAG
rnacentral:lncRNA from 1 species